rnacentral:rRNA from 1 species
GAGUUUGAUCAUGGCUCAGAUUGAACGCUGGCGGCAUGCCUUACACAUGCAAGUCGAACGGCAGCACGGGAGCUUGCUCCUGGUGGCGAGUGGCGAACGGGUGAGUAAUGCAUCGGAACGUAUCCUGGAGUGGGGGAUAACGUAGCGAAAGUUACGCUAAUACCGCAUAUUCUGUGAGCAGGAAAGCGGGGGACCUUCGGGCCUCGCGCUCUUGGAGCGGCCGAUGUCGGAUUAGCUAGUUGGUGAGGUAAAGGCUCACCAAGGCGACGAUCCGUAGCAGGUCUGAGAGGAUGAUCUGCCACACUGGAACUGAGACACGGUCCAGACUCCUACGGGAGGCAGCAGUGGGGAAUUUUGGACAAUGGGGGCAACCCUGAUCCAGCCAUGCCGCGUGAGUGAAGAAGGCCUCGGUUGUAAGUUAC